rnacentral:rRNA from 1 species
CCUGGCUCAGAACGAACGCUGGCGGAAGGCUUAACACAUGCAAGUCGAGCGCGCCCUUCGGGGCGAGCGGCAGACGGGUGAGUAACGCGUGGGAACGUACCUUUUGGUUCGGAAUAGCCCCGGGAAACUGGGAGUAAUACCGGAUAAGCCCCUCGGGGGAAAGAUUUAUCGCCAAAAGAUCGGCCCGCGUCAGAUUAGCUAGUUGGUGAGGUAAUGGCUCACCAAGGCGACGAUCUGUAGCUGGUCUGAGAGGAUGAUCAGCCACACUGGGACUGAGACACGGCCCAGACUCCUACGGGAGGCAGCAGUGGGGAAUCUUGGACAAUGGGGGAAACCCUGAUCCAGCCAUUCCGCGUGGAUGAUGAAGGCCUUAGGGUUGUAAAAUCCUUUCAGCAGGGAAGAUAAUGACUGUACCUGCAGAAGAA